rnacentral:rRNA from 1 species
UACGUAGGGAGCAAGCGUUGUCCGGAUUUACUGGGUGUAAAGGGUGCGUAGGCGGCCUUGCAAGUCAGAAGUGAAAUCCAUGGGCUUAACCCGUGAACUGCUUUUGAAACUGUAGGGCUUGAGUGAAGUAGAGGCAGGCGGAAUUCCCGGUGUAGCGGUGAAAUGCGUAGAGAUCGGGAGGAACACCAGUGGCGAAGGCGGCCGCCUGGCCUGUUACUGACGCUGAGGCACGAAAGCGUGGGGAGCAAAUAGG